rnacentral:rRNA from 1 species
AUGCACAUGGAGGCUUGUGCGGGCCAAGCUAGCAGCGCGCACAUCGUCCUGGUGCACGGCGCAUGCCUCGGCGGCUGGUCCUGGUUCAAGGUGGCGACGCGGCUCAGGUCGGCCGGGCACCGCGUCAGCACGCCUGACCUCGCGGCGUCCGGCGUCGACCCCAGGCCGCUGCGCGAGGUGCCGACGUUCCGCGACUACACCAAGCCGCUGCUGGACCUCCUGGAGUCCCUCCCGCCGGGCGAGAAGGUGGUCCUCGUCGGCCACAGCCUCGGCGGCGUGAACAUCGCCCUCGCCUGCGAGCUGUUCCCGGAGAAGAUCGCCGCUGCGGUGUUCGUCGCCGCCUUCAUGCCGGACCACAGGUCGCCGCCGUCGUACGUGCUUGAAAAGUUCGUGGAGGGGAGAACGCUGGACUGGAUGGACACGGAGUUUAAGCCUCAAGAUCCCGAGGGCAAGCUGCCCACUUCCAUGCUGUUCGGGCCGCUGGUCACUCGUGCAAAGUUCUUCCAGCUGUGCUCGCCGGAGGACCUGACGCUGGGACGAUCCCUGAUGAGGGUCAGCUCCAUGUUCGUGGACGACCUGAGACUGCAGCCGCCGCACACCGAGGCCCGCUACGGGUCGGUGCGCAAGGCGUACAUCGUCUUCAAGGACGACCACGCCAUUGUCGAGGCGUUCCAGCGGUGGAUGGUGCACAACUACCCCGUGGAUGAGGUGAUGGAAAUCGACGGCGCGGACCACAUGGCGUUGCUCUCGACGCCGACCGAGCUGGCGCGCUGCCUCGCUCACAUCGCUGUCAAGUAUGCUGCCUGA